rnacentral:lncRNA from 1 species
AUGGUGUUAAAUAAUUUGAACACCAUGAAUAAGAUGGUUAAUUCCACAAGAACACUGCCAACAUCAGAAAAAUCUGCCUUUUGGCCCAGGCUGACCAUGGAAAAGGUAUCCUAAAUGACUUUCUUAUACCUAGUAAUGAAAUCAUCCCAAGUUGCCUGGCAAGCAAGUUAAGGUACGUGGAUAUAAGAUUCAAGGGAUCACUAUGAAAUGUACUUGUUUCACUACAUUAUGCACUAAGUCACUUGAUAAACCCUCUAGAACAUGUAGAUUUUGUCUUGGAAGUAUAAACUGAUGUUUGCAUUUUUGAUAGAUGUAUCAUUUUGGUAGAUGUGAUGGAAUAAGUCUAUCCACAGAUACAAGCAUUGCUGUGAGAAGUCUGGGUCAAAAACAUCCACCUACUUUUAAUGAUAGUAAGAGAAAGUGAUAGUUUCACUUUAAUAAUGAAACUUAAAUUUACUCCACAAGAUGCCUGUUCUCUCCUCAAGCAUAUUUUAGAACAUAUUAAGAUACACAUGCAGACUGAUUUUACUCAUAAAUUCCUAGAAUAAAGAGCAGAGAGGGAGACUAAGUUACAGGUGGAUUCUAAUUCUAAAGGAGAGCAACUGUCGGACUGGAGCAAUGGCUUUUAGGACAUCAAUGAUUCUUAUUUUUACUUCUCUACAGAUAGAAAAUGUGUUUGCCAGUUCAAUAGGUGGGUAUAACAUUAGAAUUGACCACUUUCACAAAAUCUAUAGUCAAAAAAAAAAAAAGUCAAAAAGGGAGUUCUUUUGAAAACCCUGCAUGGAAUUUAUUUUAUGAAGUUUAAGAAAAUUAUGAAGCUUUAUUAGGCAAAAGGAAAGAAACCUGUGUUUGUUGAGUUGAUUCUGAAAAAUAUAUAAAGUUUACAUGAUGCUAUCUUGAAAAAGAAUAAAGGAUAAAAUCUAUAAAUUAGUUUUUUAGAAUUAAAAAUAGGAGCUUUGAAGACAUGUCAUUCAGAUUCUAAAGUUCAGAUGAGUGCAAUUUGCAGUUAGUAGUCACCCACAUCCCAAGCUCUUCUUGCUAUAAUGUGUUAGAAACUUCAUAGCUCUAUCGAUAUUACAGCUGAUACAGUAGAAAAAAUGGUGUAAAUAUUGCAAACCUUUGUUCCUCUUAGACACUGAAAGCCACUUUUAUAAAAUUUAAUAGUGGAGACACUCCUCCAGUUAUAAUAUUCAUUUCUAAAAUAUUUGCUGUGAUAUUGAGGCUAGUGUUCUCUUAUUCUUAUGGUUCCAGAAUAAGCCAUAAUAUUUCACUCAAGAACAAAUUUCUCAGAAACAUGAGGAUGUGAGACAAAGGCAAACACAGAAGCUGGCAGAAGCUCAGAGGUAGAUAUAUUUGGAGCUCCCCUCAAAUGGUACUGCCCUUAAAACAAAUCCAAAGGGAGACGAAUCAAGAUAUGAUUCACAACAGAUGAAGAUUAUGAUCCCUAAACCUGUACCUUAGGCAGAAAAUGAGCAUAUGUUUAUUGCAUGUGUCUUGAAAAGGAAUACAUAUAUAUAUAUAUAUAUAUCUUAUACUUCAAGGAAUAUAUGUAUAUUCCAAGCACAUUCCUGCUGAGUUUUUGCAAUACAUACCAUCACAAUUU